UAGAUUUGGUAACUUUUUUUUUUAAGCUGUGUAACUGCGGACAUAAUUGUUCUAGUGCAUAAUGUAUUACUGGAAUGUCAGAAAGUAGGUAUCAAAAAUGUGACAUGUAAGUAAGUAAAGGUCAAAUAUCGAAAAUGUGAUGGUUUUGUGGUAAUCUGGUGAAUUUAUUUUUGAACCAAGGAGAAAAUCGCAUCCCUCUAAAAGCCCAAAGAGCAACCCGCAUGUAAAAUUGUGAAUCUUUUCCCUUCACUAGUUUUUUUAGGAGGACAAGCUUUGAUGUCAUCAUCAUGGAUCCACAAUUUCACCAUGGAUCCGUUCUGGUAUAUCCAUGUCUCAUCCAAGAAAAUGAAAAGUAAAUCUUCACCAUAAUCACGCAAUUGGAGAUAGGUACCGCCUUAGAAAUUUGAUUCUGGCAGCUAUAACGUGGUUAAAAUGUGAAAAACUUCGCCUUCGGAAACCUAAAUUUAUACGUGUAUUACGUACAAUUAUUUUCAAAGCCGAGUGUUUUACCUCUUACAAAACAAUAACGAUUAUAUAAAACUUAAAAACCAAUUGUAGAACGGAACCAACAAAGCAUGUAGGUAUAUAAAUCUGCGCAGUCAUCUUUCUGAUUCUGAUUAUAAUAUUAACGGCACAAGCGCCGCUGUAUCUGUAUUAUUUUAAAACUCGAAAAACACUCGACAACACUACCGAACUUUACGGAGAAUAUUUCUGCCACCAGUUUAACUGUUUCAGUUUUACCCAAUUUUUUGAAAACCACGAAAUAUUUCUUGUUUCUUUUCCUUUAAAAUGAGCUUUCUCGUGAUUACUUUUAUGGAAAUUGUUUCCAUGCUGUAUGUAAGGAUUUUCUUGAAACGAAGCGUGUUGAAAUUAGAAAAACUUCGUUUUUUUUCCACACAAUUCAGAUUUGACAUUUGAAUUAGAACAUUAGACAGUUGAUGCCAAUCUUAAAUUUCUAGUGAUCUUAAGGUUGCAACUUAACCACAGAAAAGUUUCUGUCAGUUACUUCUACCGAACGUGAAUGCUUAUUAUAUUUAAUUUUCCUUAUUUUUUGCCAAUACAUUCAAUCACUUUUUGGUUUACUGUUCUUGAAGGGGCAGCUAGUUGCAGCCAAAUCUUACCAUAUUUGAAAGAUAAUAAGCUAAUCUUUUACUUCCGAAUUCAAUCUUUAUGGUAUAUGGUGGUAUAUGCUACUUUUCGACUCGAUGAAUUAAUAAAUUAAUAAAAAAAUGCGCAAUUGUUGCAUCACCAAUUUCAUUUAAAUAAUUCUUUCUGAUGGCUCAUUCUUAGAACUUUAAAAUAUAUAAAAAAUAAUCUACAUACCUGAUGGAGUUGGUUCCAUAACGCCAAAACAGUAUCAAACUACUUAGAACACCUUUUAUGAAAACAAAGUCACAAUGCGCAAACUUUUGCGCACGAACACUCUCGAGAAACGCUAAACGACAACUACAAUUUUGAGGGUAAUAAACGAUUAUUAAACGAUUUGCCUAUUGUUAUGAGGUAGCCUAAACAUCCUUCUAUCUGACUCUUUAGUACAAAUUCUUAGAAUCGCUUGUUCGGUGUUUCCUAUUUUGGCCGAGUUUUCCCAACUUGGGACCUGUGUGCGCGGUUAACAUAAUGCGGAAUUAAGUAACCCAGUGACUUCUGAUUACAUUUUGGGCCACUAAUAAACGUAGUACUGUACUGUACAUCAGGAAUUAGCUUGGCCUCUUUUAUUAACACACUAUGGAGCGGGAAAAAGAAUUAAAAUACAGAAAUUACAAAUUUCUAUUUAGAAAAAAAAACAAAAUUAAAAUUAAAAAAAAUUAAAAUAAAAAAAAAACAAAAUUAAAAUAAAAAGAAUUACAAUUAAAAAAUAACAAAAUUAAAAUAAAAAAAAUUAUAAUUAAAAAAACAAAAUUAUAAUAAAAAAAAUUACAAUUAAAACUAACAAAAAAUUAAUUAAAAGUUAAAAGCGAACAACUACGGUGGUCGUCGUUGCCGUCGCCUCUAUAGCAACGACGACCCCGUUUGAUAACGUCAAAAUUGGCUGCGUUGUCGGUAAAUCCGCAGCGCCGACUUCAAACAAAAAUUAAUUGCCCGGGAGCGACUCCGGGCACAGGAUCUAUAAUUACGUUGACCUUAUGAGCUGCAAAGAAAACAAGAACAAAUAAGAGAAAACCAAAUUUAGAAAAUCAGAGAAAAAGAAAGAAAAAACGGGGAUGAGGAGAAAUGCAGAAAAUCACUUACGAUCUACACGUCCUGGUUGGGGACGGGCAGUUUCCCGUUCGUCAGCUGCAAACAAAAAAAUUGAUCGAAGGUUAUUUCAGCAGAACAUUUCUCGCUCCCUCGAAAAAUUAUAAUUAAAUCUAACAAAAAAUUAAUUAAAAGCUAAAAGCGAACAACUACGGUGGUCGUCGUUGCCGUCGCCUCUAUGGCAAGGACGACCUCGUUUGAUAACGUCAAAAUUGGCUGCGUUGUCGGUAAAUCCGCAGCGCCGACUUCAAAAAUUAAUUGCCCGGGAGCGACUCCGGGCACAGGAUCUAUAAUUACGUGGGCCUUAUGAGCUGCAAAGAAAACAAGAACAAAUAAGAGCAAACCAAAUUUAGAAAAUCAGAGAAAAAGAAAGAAAAAACGGGGAUGAGGAGAAAUGCAGAAAAUCACUUACGAUCUACACGUUCUGGUUGGGGACGGGCAGUUUCCCGUUCGUCAGCUGCAAACAAAAAAAUUAAUCGAAGGUUAUUUCAGCAGAACAUUUCUCGCUCCCUCGAAAAAUUAUAAUUAAAUCUAACAAAAAAUUAAUUAAAAGUUAAAAGCGAACAACUACGGUGGUCGUCGUUGCCGUCGCCUCUAUGGCAAAGACGACCUCGUUUGAUAACGUCAAAAUUGGCUGCGUUGUCGGUAAAUCCGCAGCGCCGACUUCAAAAAUUAAUUGCCCGGGAGCGACUCCGGGCACAGGAUCUAUUAUAAUUACGUGGACCUUAUGAGCUGCAAUGAAAACAAGAACAAAUAAGAGAAAACCAAAUUUAGAAAAUCAGAGAAAAAGAAAGAAAAAACGGGGAUGAGGAGAAAUGCAGAAAAUCACUUACGAUCUACACGUCCUGGUUGGGGACGGGCAGUUUCCCGUUCGUCAGCUGCAAACAAAAAAAUUGAUCGAAGGUUAUUUCAGCAGAACAUUUCUUGCUCCUUCGAAAAAUUAUAAUUAAAACUAACAAAAAAUUAAUUAAAAGUUAAAAGCGAACAACUACGGUGGUCGUCGUUGCCGUCGCCUCAAUGGCAAGGACGACCUCGUUUGAUAACGUCAAAAUUGGCUGCGUUGUCGGUAAAUCCGCAGCGCCGACUUCAAAAAUUAAUUGCCCGGGAGCGACUCCGGGCACAGGAUCUAUAAUUACGUGGACCUUAUGAGCUGCAAAGAAAACAAGAACAAAUAAGAGCAAACCAAAUUUAGAAAAUCAGAGAAAAAGAAAGAAAAAACGGGGAUGAGGAGAAAUGCAGAAAAUCACUUACGAUCUACACGUUCUGGUUGGGGACGGGCAGUUUCCCGUUCGUCAGCUGCAAACAAAAAAAUUGAUCGAAGGUUAUUUCAGCAGAACAUUUCUUGCUCCUUCGAAAAAUAAUAAUUAAAACUAACAAAAAAUUAAUUAAAAGUUAAAAGCGAACAACUACGGUGGUGGUCGUUGCCGUCGCCUCUAUGGCAAGGACGAACUCGUUUGAUAACGUCAAAAUUGGCUGCGUUGUCGGUAAUGGAAUUCGAAUACUUUUACCUAUAUACCACAUCUCAAUGAGAUUUUAUACACCGUUCUGGAAAUAACUAUUUAGCUAUAUUCAUACCCACUUUUAAACAACCUGUAGAUAUAUGCGUAUUUGUGGUCUUCAAAUAGUUUGUCACAAGAGUUUAUAACGAACAAAUCGAUGUUUAAUAUAAGCAUUUUAAAGACAAUUAACUUAAUGCGGAAUUAAGUAACCCAGUGACUACUGAUUACACUUUGGGCCACUAAUAAACGUAGCACUGCACUUUACUGUGCAUCAGGAAUUAGCUUGGCCUAUUUUAUUAACAUACUGUGGAGUAGGAAAAAGAAUUAAAAUACAAACAUGACAAAUUUAUAGUAAGUUGAAAUUAAAAAAAAAAACCAAACUAAAAUUAAAAAAAUACAAAAUUAAAAUAAACACAAACUUAAAAUUAAAAAAAAAAAAAACAAUUAAGCUAUAACCUAAUGAUCACGGUCGUCGCCGUUGCUGUUCCCUGAAACGCAACGACGACACCGUUUCCCAGUGUCAAAAUCGCCUCCCGCGUAGGGAGGUACGUCGGGCCUACCUCCAAUGAAAUGGGCCCGGGAGAGACCCCGGGCACAGGAUCUACUAUGACCCGCACCUGAUGAGCUGCAAAGAAAAUAAGAAAAAAUUAUAGAAAACCAAAAAUUUAGAAAAUCAGAGAAGAAGAAAGAAAAAAAGGGGGUGAGGAGAAAUGCAGAAACAUCACUUACGAUCGACACGUCCGGGUGCCGGCCGCGUCUCGGCUAGGUUGGUUGGCAUUGGCAGUUUGUCUGCUGCAAACAAAAAAAAUUAUUGAAGGUUAUUUCAGCAGAACAUUUCUCGCUCCUUCGAAAAAUUAUAAUUAAAACUAAUAAAAAAUUAAUUAAAAGUUAAAAGCGAACAACUACGGUGGUCGUCGUUGCCGUCGCCUCUAUGGCAAGGACGACCUCGUUUGAUAACGUCAAAAUUGGCUGCGUUGUCGGUAAAUCCGCAGCGCCGACUUCAAAAAUUAAUUGCCCGGGAGCGACUCCGGGCACAGGAUCUAUUAUAAUUACGUGGACCUUAUGAGCUGCAAUGAAAACAAGAACAAAUAAGAGAAAACCAAAUUUAGAAAAUCAGAGAAAAAGAAAGAAAAAACGGGGAUGAGGAGAAAUGCAGAAAAUCACUUACGAUCUACACGUUCUGGUUGGGGACGGGCAGUUUCCCGUUCGUCAGCUGCAAACAAAAAAAUUGAUCGAAGGUUAUUUCAGCAGAACAUUUCUUGCUCCUUCGAAAAAUUAUAAUUAAAACUAACAAAAAAUUAAUUAAAAGUUAAAAGCGAACAACUACGGUGGUGGUCGUUGCCGUCGCCUCUAUGGCAAGGACGAACUCGUUUGAUAACGUCAAAAUUGGCUGCGUUGUCGGUAAUGGAAUUCGAAUACUUUUACCUAGAUACCACAUCUCAAUGAGUUUUUAUACACCGUUCUGGAAAUAACUACAGGGUUAUCAUAAAUGAUUGUAGUCGAAGUAGGCGUUGACGCAAUUGUUUUGAUGUGCCGCUUCUCACUUUCAAAAAAUUAUUAAUUAAAGUCCACUAAAGUUAUGGGGAAUUUUUGUUUUGCUUUGCUGUCAGAAGAAUGUCAUACUGGUCAUAUGUCAUAAUACUUUCCCGCGCACGUCUUGUUUACUUGUGUUGUUGUUCCAGUCUUCUUUGUUAUAAAUUAAAUUGAAUUAAACCAGUUUUUAUCAAAACUACAACGAUUGAAAACAGCGAUUAAGGUAACUAGAAAUGAAUUAAUGUGUAUUCAUAUUUCAAAUAAAUCUGUUUUAGGUUAAGAUGGGGUACACUCUUGAACAAAAUACGUUUAUUGUUGUCUUACUAUCGAAAUGGGACGUUAAAUGCGGACGGGGAAUGGGUGUAUUCUGUUCAAGCUUGCAAGGAUGAGUAUUUGGCAAAAUUUCCAGAAUUAAACAUUGAAGAACAGUUUUUGAUGACACACAUAAAAAGAAUCGUUGACCGAUUCAACAGCACUGGAAAUGUUUCUAAAGGCAAGUCACCAGGAAGGCCUCCAGUUAGUGAAGAGGUCGUCGAAGAUUUGAGGGAAUGAAUGGAGCAAAGCCCAAAAAAAUCUUUAAGUAAACUGUCUUUGCAAUCUGGUGUCCCAUAACACCACUUGUCAGAAAGUUUUAAAAAGAACAUUACAUAUGCAUCCCUAUAAAGUAUCGUCAGUCCAUGAACUUAAACCAGCUGAUUAUCCUCGUCAUGUUGUAUAUUGUGAAUGGUUUCAAAACAACAUGAACAACAACAGAAUUUUGGAUUUGUCAUUUUUUUCCGAUGAAGCAUGGUUUCAUCUAAAUGGCUACGUUAAUUCGCAAAAUUAUAGAGUUUGGAGUGCUGAAAAUCCUUUUGUUUUUGAAAAGAAGAAUUCCUUGAGUACCCAGAGCAGUGAUUAUACUGUACCAAAAAAAUUUUGUGAUGCCUCAAAUUGUAGACGAGCAAGCAAAUGUGAAAGAUUGUUGUUCAUCUAGCUCGUUUUCCAGACUUCAUUGGCGCCUUGGACUGCAUAUGCACAUAUAAAAAUUAAAUUACCAGUUAUAGGUGGAGAAGAUCCAGAAAUUUUUAGAAAUCAGGAAGAUUAUCUCUUGAUUAAUGUACAAGCCAUAUGUGAUGAAAUGAUUAAAUUUCAAAUAUUGUGGCACAAUGAUCAGUAGCUACAAAUGAUUGUACUAUUUUUAAUCAUUGUUCAGUUUAAGAUCUGUUUGAAAAUACACAACUGCAAAGUUGUGUGCUCUUGGAUAGAAUAUUUUAAGAGAAUUUUAUUAUAUUAUUAUAUUUCUAAGUAACAAGUUAUCCCUUAAAAAAAUACUUGUUGACACUGCUGAUAUAUCCCGUUACUCCAGUACAACAGCUCUGUUAUCAGUGACACAUUGGAGGCCGCAAUAGAAUUGGGUGCACAUUUGGGAUUCUGAAAUGACAGUUUCCUGUGUUAACAGUUGUGAUUGUCGCUGUUGUUUUACACAACAUUUUAAAACAGAUUGUAAUAUUUGACAGUAAAAAUUUAUUGGUAAUAAA